rnacentral:rRNA from 1 species
ACACCGCGUGAAGGAUGAAGGUCUUCGGAUUGUAAACUCUUUAGACCUAGAUGAAGACUCAAGGGUGAACAAUCCUUGAGUUUGACCGUAUAGGUAGAAUAAGCCACGGCUAACUCUGUGCCAGCAGCCGCGGUAAUACAGAGGUGGCAAACGUUGUCCGGAUUUAUUGGGUGUAAAGGGCAUGUAGGUGGUCUGGUAAGUCAAAGGUGAAAUGGCUCGGCUCAACCGAGUCAUUGCCUUUGAAACUGCCGGACUCGAGUACGGAAGAGGAGAGCGGAAUUCCCAGUGUAGCGGUGAAAUGCGUAGAUAUUGGGAGGAACACCGGUGGCGAAAGCGGCUCUCUGGUCCGAAACUGACACUGAGAUGCGAAAGCCAGGGGAGCAAACGGGAUUAGAUACCCCGGCAGUCCUGGCCGUAAACGAUGAGAACUAGGUGUUAGAGGUAUCCACUCCUCUAGUGCCGCAGCUAACGCAUUAAGUUCUCCACCUGGGGACUACGACCGCAAGGUUG